rnacentral:piRNA from 1 species
UGACUAAAGGGUUGGCUCAAAGCAGC